AGACGGGACCCGCACAAGCGGUGGAUGAUGUGGAUUAAUUCGAUGCAACGCGAAAAACCUUACCUACCCUUGACAUGUCUGGAACCUUGGUGAGAGCCGAGGGUGCCUUCGGGAGCCAGAACACAGGUGCUGCAUGGCUGUCGUCAGCUCGUGUCGUGAGAUGUUGGGUUAAGUCCCGCAACGAGCGCAACCCUUGUCACUAGUUGCCAUCAUUUAGUUGGGCACUCUAGUGAGACUGCCGGUGUCAAACCGGAGGAAGGUGGGGAUGACGUCAAGUCCUCAUGGCCUUUAUGACCAGGGCUACACACGUACUACAAUGGCCGGUACAAAGGGCAGCGACACAGCGAUGUGAAGCCAAUCCCGAAAAGCCGGUCUCAGUCCGGAUUGGAGUCUGCAACUCGACUCCAUGAAGUUGGAAUCGCUAGUAAUCGCGGAUCAGCACGCCGCGGUCGAAUACGUUCCCGGGCCUU
rnacentral:rRNA from 1 species